GGAAGAUUGAAGAGAUUGAGGCAGUGAUGGCAGGGGCUCCUUGGCCGAUAGAAAAGACUACCUUUCUCUCUGGAAAUGGACAAGUGUAAUUCUCCCAAAUAUUGCAUGACAUCAAGAAAAUAGAAUAAUUGGUCCUCUAGCCAUCUUAUCCUCGGUAUCUGGGCCUCUGAACAACUAGACAUACUUCUAGUCUGUUUUGAGAGGCAACUCUGUACUUGUUCUUGAAUACCUAGCAGAUACGUAUAUAAAAGUUUGAAACAUGCAUUUGUAAAUGAAGGGAAAAUUAUGGAUUAUGUUGCUGUUGCUUCCUAUUAUGGACUAGCCUUCUUAGAUGUGCUGAUUGGUGUUAUUUUAAUUUUUAUCUGUAUACAUGAAAUAUUUUCUA
rnacentral:lncRNA from 1 species